rnacentral:SRP_RNA from 1 species
GCCAGGCGUGGUGGCGCGCGCCUGUAAUCCCAGCUACUCAGGAGGCUGAGGCAGUAGAAUCACUUGAACCCAGGAGACUGAGUUUGCAGUGAGCCAAGAUUGAACCACUGCACUCCAGCCUAGGCGACAGAGUGAGACUCUGUCUCAA